UACGUAGGUGGCAAGCGUUGUCCGGAAUUAUUGGGCGUAAAGGGCGCGCAGGCGGAAUGCCAAGUCUUUCUUAAAAGUGCUGGGCUUAACCCAGUGAGGGGAAGGAAACUGGUAUUCUUGAGUACAGGAGAGGAAAGUGGAAUUCCCAGUGUAGCGGUGAAAUGCGUAGAUAUUGGGAGGAACACCAGUGGCGAAGGCGACUUUCUGGACUGUGUCUGACGCUGAGGCGCGAAAGCCAGGGGAGUGAACG
rnacentral:rRNA from 1 species